GCAUGGGUUUGGAUUUAUGGCAGGCCCGUCCCCCUGGGCCUCUCAUACUGUCCCAUGCCACAGUGAAGGUGGCUCCGAACCAUGGCCUGGCCUCCACGCUGUAGGCUGCAGGCACUGAAGUGGGUUGCACACUG
rnacentral:snoRNA from 1 species